rnacentral:ncRNA from 1 species
UAUUAUUUAUUGUAAUAGUUUGAUUCUGACUAAUUUGUUGAUUUAAUGUAAAUUACACAUGCGAAUUUUUGUUAAUAUUAAUAAAUUUGGGUUUUGCAGUGUUUAAUUUUAAAAAUUUAGUUAUUUAUGAUUUAGUUAUUCAUUAUUUUAUUGUAAAUGUUUGUGCCAGCAUCCGCGGUUACACAAUAAAUAAUAAUUAAUAUUUUUGGUUUAAUGCAUUUUAUAUUUUAAUUGAGUUUAAUUAUUUAAUUAUUAGGUGAAAUUAUAAUUAAUAUUAAUUUUAAUUUUUUAUUGCGAAAUAUGAUUAUUAAACUAGGAUUAGAUACCCUAUUAUUUCAUAUGUUAAUUUUUAACCUGGGUAGUAUUAGUUAUGUUCUUAAAACCUAAAGAAUUUGGCGGUGUUUUAGUCUAUUUAGAGGAACUUGCUCCUUAAUCGAUAAUCCUCGUUUUAUCUUUCUUAAUUUAUUUUAGUAUGUAUACCGCUGUUAUAAGUUUAUUUUAUUAGAAUUUUAAUUUACUAUAUUUAUUAUUUUAAUUUAUUUCAAGUCAAGGUGCAGCCUAUAAUUAAGUGGAGGUGAGUUACAAUAUUUAUAUUAUUUGGAUUUUACGUUUAAAAUGUAAUUGAAAUUGGAUUUAAUAGUAAUUUUAUUUAUAUAGUUAUUUUGAUUUUAGCUCUGAAAUAAGUACAUAUCGCCCGUCGCUCUCAAUACAUUUGAGAUAAGUCGUAACAUAGUAGGCGUACUGGAAAGUGUGCCUAGUAAGGAUUU